rnacentral:rRNA from 1 species
AUUUGGCGGUGUUUUAGUCUGGUUAGAGGAACCUGUGUUAUAAACGAUACAACACGCAUUAUCUUACUUAUUUUAGUAAAUCAGUUUGUAUACCGUCAUUAUUAGAUAAUUUAUGAGAAAAUAUUAUUGGGGUCAUAAUAUUGAGUAUAUUAGAUCAAGGUGCAGCUUAUGAGUAAGUAAAUAUGGGUUACAAUAAAAUUUAUUUAAUAUGAAUUAGGUAUUUAAAUAUGCCUAUGAAGGAGGAUUUAAUUGUAAGAAAAAAAUAGUAAGAUUUUCUGAUAAGAGCUCUAAAUUAU